CCACGAAUAAGUCAUGGCUUUUCUUCGAGGAUAAUUCCCGCAUGGUUCCAAAACAUUUUAUGCACGCCUUCCAUCGCUGAGAAGAAGAACCAGCAUCUCUAUUUAUAGCUGGGUCCACUGGAGGAUCUCAACUGAAAAUAGCACCGGACAUGUGCCGCCAGGCAUGAACCAAUGACUCAGAAGCCAUUUCGGAUCUCAGCAG
rnacentral:lncRNA from 1 species